GACGAACGCUGGCGGCGUGCUUAACACAUGCCAGUCGAACGGAAAGGCCCUGCUUUUGUGGAGUGCUCGAGUGGCGAACGGGUGCGUAACACGUGAGUAACCUGCCCUUGACUUUGGGAUAACUUCAGGAAACUGGGGCUAAUACCGGAUAGCAGCUCCUGCUGCAUGGUGGGGGUGGGAAAGUUUCGGCGGUUGGGGAUGGACUCGCGGCUUAUCAGCUUGUUGGUGGGGUAGUGGCUUACCAAGGCUUUGACGGGUAGCCGGCCUGAGAGGGUGACCGGCCACAUUGGGACUGAGAUACGGCCCAGACUCCUACGGGAGGCAGCAGUGGGGAAUAUUGCACAAUGGGCGGAAGCCUGAUGCAGAAACGCCGCGUGCGGGAUGACGGCCUUCGGGUUGUAAACCGCUUUAGCCUGUGACGAAGCGUGAGUGACGGUAAUGGGUAAAGAAGCACCGGCUAACUACGUG
rnacentral:rRNA from 1 species